CCCUUGGAGUAUUAUAUCAAACGAAAGUAGCUUAAAGCAAAAUCGGAUACGAUGAACAGGGAA
rnacentral:sRNA from 1 species